rnacentral:rRNA from 1 species
GACGAACGCUGGCGGCGUGCUUAACACAUGCAAGUCGUACGGUAAGGCCCUUUCGGGGGUACACGAGUGGCGAACGGGUGAGUAACACGUGAGUAACCUGCCCACAACUUUGGGAUAACGCUAGGAAACUGGUGCUAAUACUAGAUAUGUGCCCCUGCUGCAUGGUGGGGGUUGGAAAGCUCCGGCGGUUGUGGAUGGACUCGCGGCCUAUCAGCUUGUUGGUGGGGUAGUGGCCUACCAAGGCGGCGACGGGUAGCCGGCCUGAGAGGGUGACCGGCCACAUUGGGACUGAGAUACGGCCCAGACUCCUACGGGAGGCAGCAGUGGGGAAUAUUGCACAAUGGGCGCAAGCCUGAUGCAGCAACGCCGCGGGCGGGAUGACGGCCUUCGGGUUGUAAACCGCUUUCAGCAGGGACGAAGCUUUUUGUGACGGUACCUGCAGAAGAAGCACCGGCUAACUACGUG